UCUUCAUGAUCACCGAUCUGUUCCAAAUCAUAGAAGUGGAUGAGCGCAGUAGUACCUGGACAGUAAAAAUGUGGUUUUUCUUCUACUAUAAGGUGCCGUCAGCUCGGUGGGAUCCAGCAGACUACAAUGGCACAUGGAGUAUUAACAUUCCUGAUAAUAUGUUUUGGAAACCUCAGAUUUUUGCCAGAGAAAGAGUUGAAACAAAAGAAAUAGUAGUCGACCCGCAAACAGUACUCGCUGAUGGAUUGGUGAACGCCUUGUCCACUAUUGCAACUCGAAAAUUCACCUGUAUUUUUGACGUGGCAAGAUUUCCAUUCGACGAGCACCGCUGCAUCAUCAGAGUUGAAGGGUGGCAGUUUGAAAGUGCUGCAUAUCAGCUGAAAAUUUCCAACACAGAACUUCAGACCGAUUGGACGUUUCUGCAGUUGAUUUAUUACACAGAUCACGAGCAAUGGGAGUUAGUUGCCGGCAAAUCGGUCAUAAAGGAGGCAAGUUCGAGCUAAUUUAUUUUAACUACGAAAAAAAAGAUCGAGGUUUCAGAUUUGGUUUCGACCAAGGCGGGUUGAAUGACUUAAAAAUUUUUGGUCGA